rnacentral:tRNA from 1 species
GCAGGGGUGGAUCGGUGGUAGAAUUCUUGCCUUCCAUGCAGGAGACCUGGGUUUGAUUCCUGGCUAAUGCA